rnacentral:rRNA from 1 species
CCCAAGAGUUCACAUCGACGGGGAGGUUUGGCACCUCGAUGUCGGCUCGUCACAUCCUGGGGCUGAAGCAGGUCCCAAGGGUUCGUCUGUUCGCCGAUUAAAGUGGCACGCGAGCUGGGUUUAAAACGUCGUGAGACAGUUUGGUCCCUAUCCUAUGCGGGCGCAGGAGAUUUGACGGGAUCUGUCCUUAGUACGAGAGGACCGGGAUGGACGGACCUAGGGUGUUCCGGUUGUCACGCCAGUGGCAGCGCCGGGUAGCCACGUCCGGAAGGGAUAAGCGCUGAAAGCAUCUAAGCGCGAAACCCACCCGAAGAUAAGAUCUCCCUGGGAGCAAUCCCCUGAAGAGUCCUGGAAGACUACCAGGUUGAUAGGCUGGAGGUGUAAGCGCGGCGACGCGUUCAGCUGACCAGUACUAAUCACUCGUGCGGCUUGGCCUU